rnacentral:lncRNA from 1 species
UUUAUAUUUUAGUAUAUAAUAAACGAACUCUCCAAGAACCAUAACAACAUAUACUGUUCACGUUAUGGUACAAAGAGUUAAUGACUGUAACUUAAAGGAUGUGAGAAAAACACAAGGUAUCUAUAAGCCCAUUCCACACAGUUUAAUGAACUCAGGUUGGGAAAGUGUUUCAAUGCCUGUACAAGUAUUUGUAGUGUGUACAUCUCAUACAAAUCCCUUAUACUAUUAACCAGCAUAUUCGUCUCUGUCUACGAAUGAAUUUGGGCAUGUGUGCAGCCGUUAUUAACUUGGUACUCAUUUACAUUUGACAUGUAUUAUGUAUAAAAUAUAUUAAAGGGACACUAUAGUCACCAGAUCAUGCUUAUUGCAUUUGUUCUGGUGAGUAUAUUUAUUCCCUUCAGGCUUUUUGCAGUAAACACUGUCUUUUCAGAGAAAAAAACAUACCUUUUACAGCUUUAUGACAUUAACUCUCAAGCCGACUGCCUAAUUUUUAUGUAAAAGUUAACAAGAUUCUUUGCUAGGAAUAUAAAGUUAUUCUAUACAGUGAUGUAUGGUAACUAACAGGUGGAUCAGUGCAGUGUAUAACUAAAAAUCAAAAAGCAAGGCUUACACAGUGUAGAUAAAGUUUAACGGUAGGCUAUGGAACAUGCAUGCUAUAUGCACUAUGGAUAAUUAUUAUAUCGCGCUUAGUAAAGAAAUAGAUGCAGGAUUAACAGAGAGCACGUUUUGCAUUAUAGUGCCACAGCAGCAGGUACAAGCUAAGAGAGUAAUACAGAAAGAAAAAAUAUCAUGGCAUGCAAGAACGGCACAAUUUUUGUUAAUGGAUUCAAGUUAGGUAGAUAAUCAACGUAACAGUGGCAUCAAUUACUGUGAGAAAAUGGGUCAGAGAGAAUAAACUAACAAUCGUUGCUUGCGCAUUGCGGGUAUACCGCCCAAUCUGGUACCAGGAGCUGCCUUGUGUAAGAGGGGAGUCCUGUAGCCUCCAAAUAGAUCAGAGUCAGUGGGUCACGGAUCAGGCCCUCCAGGGUCACAGAACUGCACAGUCAUCCCAUACCUGUGCGGGGCUCUUAAAUCCCAAGCUGGUGCACAGAGCAGCAGAGUGAAGCCCAGAUGAGGCGCUGUCCCAGCUCCAUAUUUUCCAGCUAACUGGCACAGACUUCUCAGAAGUUUGAGGUCUGGCAGGGUACCCAGUGGGGUAAGAUGGUGGGCUCUGUGGGUCAGUCGUAUGGGUCUCAUGCAGUGCUUUGCAUCCCGUCGUUUGCGCGCCUGGAGCUGUCGGUGUGCAGCAUUUGAAGCCUCGGCUUGGGCAGGCGGUGGGCACAGGGGUCUGAAGCCUGCGAUGGCCUUGCAGCUGUGCACGCAGGGGGGACGAGCGGGCUUCCCACUCUGUGGGUCUCUUGAGAGUCGGUGCUGCAGGUUCAGCCAGAAACACUGAAAGAGUUUGUCGAGUGUCCUCAGGGAGUCUGCUGUGGUGUCAAAUGGUGUCCGUUGCUUGAGGUCCUCACCAUGAGGCUGCAAGGGACAGGCAUUCCCCACUUUGGAGCGCCAAGAGUGAGGCAGUGUAGUCUGUAUAUUAUAGUAAGUAUUAGCAGAGUCUCUGAGUUGCCUUAGGGGGACCGGGAUGAACCCACCGGUCCAGAGGUAUGGGGGGGGGGGUGGUAGGAGUGACACAAGUUCAGACCCCGGCCCGAAGCACAAGAAGAUCGGCUGCUUCCACUCAGCUCCGCUCCAGUUAGGCCUCAGCAAGGUUCCCAGGAUCUCGGUAGGAGAAGCAUACGGGUAAGGUAUCAGUCAGCUUGCCUGGGUUCCCCUGAUCUGAUGACACGUUUAGGUGUGCAUGGCAGCCUUUUUCACCGGGUUAAAGCAUUUAUUUCAGCCAAAUAGUCGGGAGCUCCGGCGUACCAUGUAUAGCUUGCUCGGAGUUCAGGGAUC